AGCAUUGAAUGUUUUGGCCUAUGCCCAUUUUGGAACAACUGUGCUGCUUUCAUCUCUUCUUGGAAAUGAACCCAUUCAAAGCCUGGCAGUAUUUAGGUGGGAGACUGCUUGGGAAUCCUGGAUGCUU
ensembl:rRNA 5S_rRNA 5S ribosomal RNA